GCACAGGAACCCACAUGGCACGUCCGCCAGGUGGAAGCCACUGCACCUCCCCCCGUGCUGGUGGCAAAGGGCUAGUCAUCCUCUGACAGAGCUCCCACACCUUCCCUGAGCCACACGGCCUGAGGAGUAAAAGCCUGCUCAGGGCUGUAACUGAGCCAGGUCACAGCUUUUCUGGCCCCCAAGACACUGAGGGUUUCACUUCCACUUCUAUCAUGGAGAAAGCCUGCCAGAGAAAGAUGUCCUGUUGAAGGAGGAGAUCUGGAACACAAGAUUUAUGGACUACAAGGACCUUCUGCAGAAACCAGCAGCUAAAGAAGAAGACUAACAAAGGCUCAGCAUUUGUGUCAGAAAAUCCCUAGGGGAGGGAAAAUAUACAAAAAAGAUUAAAGAUAUGAAGUUA